rnacentral:rRNA from 1 species
GACGAACGCUGGCGGCGUGCUUAACACAUGCAAGUCGAACGGAAAGGCCCUGCUUUUGUGGGGUGCUCGAGUGGCGAACGGGUGAGUAACACGUGAGUAACCUGCCCUUGACUUUGGGAUAACUUCAGGAAACUGGGGCUAAUACCGGAUAGGAGCUCCUGCUGCAUGGUGGGGGUUGGAAAGUUUCGGCGGUUGGGGAUGGACUCGCGGCUUAUCAGCUUGGUGGUGGGGUAGUGGCUUACCAAGGCUUUGACGGGUAGCCGGCCUGAGAGGGUGACCGGCCACAUUGGGACUGCGAUACGGCCCAGACUCCUACGGGAGGCAGCAGUGGGGAAGAUUGCACAAUGGGCGGAAGCCUGAUGCAGCAGCGCCGCGUGCGGGAUGACGGCCUUCGGGUUGUAAACCGCUUUCGCCUGUGACGAAGCGUGAGUGACGGUAAUGGGUAAAGAAGCACCGGCUAACUACGUG